AGGACGAACGCUGGCGGCGUGGAUUAGGCAUGCAAGUUGAGCGACGGACCCGGCUUGCCGGGUUACGGAGCAGCGAACGGGUGAGUAACACGUGAAUAACCUGUCCUCACGUUCCGGAUAAUUGGCCGAAAGGCCUUGUAAUACGGGCGAGGAUCGUUUCGGGGCAUCUCGAAACGAAGGAACGCGCAAGCGGCGCGAGGAGGGAUUCGCGGCCUAUCAGUUAGUUGGUGGGGUAACGGCCUACCAAGACGACGACGGGUA
rnacentral:rRNA from 1 species